UCUCUCUCUCUCUAUAUAUAUAUAUGUGUGUGUGAGAGAGAGAGAAAGAGGAUAGAUAUACACACAUGAAAUACAUACGCACCCUGCAAAGGAAGCUUAGUGCCAUAAUAUGCAUGUGGGCUGGAAAUUCCGCUUUCCAGAGUUGAACCUUAAGGAUUCUUGGGUCGUCACUGAGGGAACAAAAGGGCACUCUUGUCACAAAGCUGUAACAAUAAAAGCAUGUAUCAUACAUAUGAAAAAUCCGGAAACGCCCACACAUAUCCCAACAGGUCGUACAACACCAUGCACGCUCAUGCACCCGCUUUCUACAAAAAGCCAAUCCUAAUUCAAAAGGCACUACACAAAUCUGUUCUUCAUUCUUUGCCUCAGACUUCUGCUAUCCCGGAUCUCUCCCUCCUCUCUCUCUCUCUCUCUGAAAUCUCUCUAGGGUUUCUCAGGGGCCUUGUUGCAGAGCCAAUUUGGCAUUCUGUCCACCUCCAUGAAAUGUUCUUGUUAGUUAACUAGUUUGAUUUUCAGCUUUUGGAGGCGGCCAGCAUGUCAAAUUGGUUCUGUAAAUUUCUCUCUGAGAAACCAUAUAAGAGCCAAAAGCUCUUGAUGAAAAUCUUUCUGCUUAAUAGCUCUACUUAAUGUCUGUCGUAUUUUCUGAUCUGGCCAGAAAAAGUCUUUUUCACUCGUAUUCUUUUUUCACUAAUUUGUUCAUGUUUGUUUACUUUAUAUGUGUGCAUGCAUAGUUGAGACAAAGAUGAGCUCUUUCAUUGUCUUGGGUUCAGGCAAAUUAGAAAUUUCGGUGGUUUUACAUAUAUAGAUACAGUCACAAGUCUUAUCUACGCAUGCGCGCAGGUUACAGGUUAAUGCAUACUCACCAUUCUUUAGCUCAUGCGGAAGUACUAAAUUUGUAUCCAUUCAAAUUAGGCCAAAUCACUUGUUGGAUAAGCCGUUUAAUUUUAAUGGCCGCUAUGCUUCAAAUACGAUCGACCAUCAACCAUAUAUAGCUAGGGUGGUUUCAUAUUGGUACGUAUUAUAUAUCCAUAAUAUGAGUUCGAUCAUAUGAUGAUCAUCAGUAGCGGCACACACAAAACUCGAAACAUGCAACUCGGUUAUAAGACUGCAUCAUAAUAGCUAGCCGAUAUAUAUAUAUAUAUAUAUAAAGAACACAUGAUAUAUGUAUGUUCUUUAAUUAGUCUUUACACAUAUGAGUCUAUUUUAAACCGAAGCAGCAGAUCAGCUGCAUUAAUAUAUAUGGCUUACCUCAAGCGAUGAACUACCUAUCAACUUGAGCGAUUUCAUAUUGCAAUAACUACAUGAGCUUGAGCAGACGUUGUUUCUUAAUGUGAGUUCAAGAAAGAUGGAUGCCCUAUAUAAUGCGUCAAACUUUUUUUUGGAAAGACCAGAGGGAGUUUUCUUCAAUUCUGAGCAGGGAAGAAGUGAAUUCGUCUGGCAGCAGUCUGGAUUUUUGUGAACUUUGACCCGUAACUUGUUAAAUAUAUUAAUGUUUUGUCAUUGCAUUGAUGUAAGUCAACCAUGUACAUGAAAUUGAAAAAGCAGCCAAACAUGUUUCAUGUAAAGUUUCUCUA